rnacentral:rRNA from 1 species
AUGCUUGAUGGUUCUGCUCAGGACAUGCCAUCUCGUAUUACUGGACAUGGAUGUGAAGAGCACUCCAUGAUUGACUCUUUGCGAGGAGUUCUUAUGGUAGAUGCUCAACAAGACCAACUUCUUUCUAGGAACACCUCUCAGCAGCCACAUGUGACAGUCGCUGAUAAGGAGCCAAAUUGGCUUCAUUGUGAAGACCAGCAUUCCAGAAUGAGAUAUUUGUCUGCUCAAGCUGCGAAACAACUACAGGACGCGGAGAAGUGGAUUAGUCAACAAAAUACAAAUGCUAUUGCAAAACUGGAAGAAUUGAGGAGGUAUCAAUCAAUACAGAGUCAGAAGUCCAAUGAUGCACCCCCAGACGCAGAUAUGUACUGCAAGCCAAAAACGCGAGAUGAUGUGACUGCUAAAUGUGCUAGUUCAGUGGCAGAUACAUGUUGUAUUGUCUCUGCUGAUGGUCAUAAUGCGCCUCAGCCAGUAGCUGGAGUCAAGAUUAGUGAAGUUUCUAUUGGUUCCAGUGCAGCAUCAAAUACUUCAGGUGUUAGUAAAGGUUAUAAUUUCAGGUCUUCAGCCAAGAGCACACAGGUUAACAUGAUGGAACACAUUUCCCUCAACUCACUGUCACAUGACAACAGUACUCCAGAACACUGGCCAAUGGAGCACAGGCAAAUGCAUUUUGGUUCAUGGGAGAGAAAUAUAACAGAUAGGGAGAUACCUGCAGACACGAAGGGUGCUGAAGCUAAAAAUCAUGACGACCUCUUGACCAGAAACAAGAGCAGCAGGAGGAACUUUAAUUCAGUUAGGCCUGCAGCGCCACCUGUGUUUAAUGAGAAGAAUUCUACAGAAGUCCUGAGUAUGCAGAAAACCCAUGUUCCAUGUAUUGCCAUUAAUAGUUCUAUAAUUCCUGCCAAGGUUACUUCUGUUACAGGUCUUAUUGUGGGUAAUAUAAUGCUUGAUGAUGUUCCACUUGCAUCAGUAAACCGGGAGUGGGCAGUACCGGCCAAGGAAGUACAUGAUACAGCUAGUAGCCUCUAA